CCGGUUGAUCCUGCCAGAGGUUACUGCUAUCGGAGUUCGAUUAAGCCAUGCGAGUCUAAAGGUUUCUUCGGAAACCUUGGCGGACUGCUCAGUAACACGUGGAUAACCUACCCUUGGGACUGGAAUAACCCCGGGAAACUGGGGAUAAUACCGGAUAGAUCAGGGAUGCUGGAAUGCACCUUGAUCCAAAGCUCCGGCGCCCAAGGAUGGGUCUGCGGCCUAUCAGGUUGUAGUGGGUGUAACGUACCUACUAGCCGACGACGGGUACGGGUUGUGAGAGCAAGAGCCCGGAGAUGGAUUCUGAGACACGAAUCCAGGCCCUACGGGGUGCAGCAGGCGCGAAACCUUUACAAUGUGCGAAAGCAUGAUAAGGGAACUCCGAGUGCCAGUAUCUAAUACUGGCUGUCCUUGUGCCUAAAACGCACAAGAUAGCAAGGGCCGGGUAAGACCGGUGCCAGCCGCCGCGGUAACACCGGCGGCCCGAGUGGUAGCCGCUAUUAUUGGGUCUAAAGGGUCCGUAGCCGGUUCGAUAAGUCCUCUGGGAAAUCUGGUUGCUUAACAAUCAGACUGCCAAGGGAUACUGUCGAACUUGAGACCGGGAGAGGUAAGAGGUACUUCAGGGGUAGGAGUGAAAUCUUGUAAUCCCUGGGGGACCAUCUGUGGCGAAGGCGUCUUACCAGAACGGGUCUGACGGUGAGGGACGAAAGCUGGGGGCGCAAACCGGAUUAGAUACCCGGGUAGUCCCAGCCGUAAACGAUGCUCGCUAUGUGUCAGGUACGGUGUGACCGUAUCUGGUGCCGUAGGGAAGCCGUGAAGCGAGCCACCUGGGAAGUACGGUCGCAAGACUGAAACUUAAAGGAAUUGGCGGGGGAGCACUACAACGGGUGGAGCCUGCGGUUUAAUUGGAGUCAACGCCGGGG
rnacentral:rRNA from 1 species